AUUGAACGCUGGCGGCAGGCCUAACACAUGCAAGUCGAACGGUAACAGGAUGAAGCCUGCUUCUUUGCUGUCGCGUGUCGGACGGGUGCGUAAUGUCUGGGAAACUGUAUGCUGGCGGGGGAUAACUCCUGGAAACGGUAGCUAAUACCGCAUACCGUCGCAAGAACAAAAAGGAGGACCUUUUGGCCUCUUGCUCUAGGAUGUGCCCAGAUGGGAUUAGCUCGUAGGUGGGGUAACGGCUCACCAAGGCGACGCUCCCUAGCUGGUCUGAGAGGAUGACCAGCCACACUGGAACUGAGACACGGUCCAGACUCCUACGGGAGGCAGCAGUGGGGAAUAUUGCACAAUGGGCGCAAGCCUGAUGCAGCCAUGCCGCGUGGAUGAAGAAGGCCUUCGGGUUGUAAAGUACUUUCGGCGGGGAGGAAGGGAGUAAGGUUAAUACCUUGGCGCAUUGACGGUACCCGCAGAAGAAGCACCGGCUAACUCCGUG
rnacentral:rRNA from 1 species